GUACCCACAGAAAACAUCGACCCCUGCAAACAAAGCUUCCAAGGAAAUGUCCCGUGUGUACGGGCUUGGUGGAAUGUCAUCGCGGACAUCGGAUCCGCGAGGUGGUGGCUUUACUUGGAUUACUUUUAAUUAGUUUUUGGCGUGAUACUUCAAAGUGAAAAGCAAGAUGAUGCAAUUUUACAACGUUCCCCUUACGCACUUUUCCGCAGACUGUCGAAAACAGGCGCAAACAAAUUCUGUUAGGGCGUCAUCCCGGAGGACUCCGAAUAUCCAUAGAACAACGGGUGCGAUUCUGGGGGCGACCCAAGUUCCCUAAUUUGAUAUGUUAUGAAAUCAAAUACCAAACCAAUAUGAGCACGAGUAAAAUAUUGCUGGGCAUAUGAACUCGAUAACGAUGCCAUCGGAACAGAUGCGCAUCGAUGCAUGCAGCAAAAAAGAGGAGGAAAAAGUUCAAAACCGCAAAGUUUCGCCGUGUUUUAAUUCCGCCGGCCCGAAAUACAUUUGCUGAACCGGUAAAAUCUUUCCAUCAACUUUGGCUAGUUGCUACCUACUUCUGUUUUGUACUUGAAAAGAUAAGUUCGGAAAUAUUUUUUUCAAGUAUUGGUAUCAUGAUCCAGCUGUAGAAUCUUUGCUGCAGUCUACUGUCGGUGGGUGUGCUGGAGACUGAAUCCAAGCAUGGAGUUGCGUGUGCUGACCGCUAAUUUCAUCCAGCUUUCAUUAGAUCUGGCUCAAGUGAGGCGAUGCGGUCCAAAACAAACAAAACAUACGCCUCUUAUUUGAGGAGGGCCAACAUUUAUUAGCGCAUCAGAUAAGAUAUUGUUAAGGUUGCCUUCACACAUCAUGAAAUUUAGGAAACACGAAGUAGCCAGACCAGCCUCCACCCCGAAGCGUCGAAAAUGGACGAAGCAUCUGAAGCAAACUUUCACGGAGAGGGCUGGCGGUCCACGGACACUUCAAUGACAACAAAGAAUCUUCUAGCGACAGAAAGCCCAUGGAAUGACAAUUUACAUCGCAGUUUCUCAUUGCGAAGCUGGAAGUGGAAAACGGUUCUAAGAUGAUUGUGAAUCUGUCCAGCAAUUUCGGUAAUUUCCUACUCGUGUACCUAGCUUGGGUAAGUUAAAGUUUUAUGAAGGAUUUAAUUAUUAAACUAUCAUGAUAUUCUAAGAGGAACGAUUGCAUUUAAAAUAUGUAAACUAAAUGCAAUCAAAAUAAGGAAAACUAAACAUAAUUAUGUAUCGAGAAAAUUUUGGCUAUUUUGCGACAAGCAUCCAAUUUGAUCGUAUAUGUUAAUCAGUUCAUUUUGAAACAGAGAUAAACUUUUUUGUAUAAGGUACACCGGGGUAAGUGGAGACGAUGGCUAUUAAAAAAACUGUGAAUUUUUUUUUUAACUUUUAAUGAAGAAUGUUAAAUUUACUUGUAAUCUAUCCAAUAACUGUAAAAGAGAUACGGUUCCGACAACAGCGGAUGAUUACGGUGAUUUUUUGUUAAUUUUCUAUUUUUAACUACGAUGUGGAGUUGAUGUGCAUCUUUUUCAAUCGCAAAUUUCUCGUAAACUAGCUGACUCUUGACGAAAAACUCUACAUUGAAACAAUCCUUACAACCAGUUAGAAAAGAAACGACGGUUUCAAAUUAAGAAAAAGGAGUUUGUUUGCAAAAAUCUAAAAUUUUGUCUCCAAACCCUACCUGGGGUAAGUGGGAACGGUUUCAUACAUACUUGAUAUUUACACAUUUUUUUGUACUCUACCAAAGCGAGAGCUUUUGCAAGCAUAUUUGGAAACUGCACAAAACCUGUAUCUUUCGUCUCUGCCCUACCAGAUGUAUUUCGGAUUGGGCAUUGAAGAUUUGUCGGAGCUAAAGUACAAAUCGUUUGGAGGGUUUAAUUUUCGAUCAACUAUAAGGACAACUGUAGCAUAGAGACGCUCAAUCAACUGAAUGUGAACUCAUUUAUGUACUGUGCUAUUCUGGUGGUGCAGUGCUUUGGAAAGCAAACAAAAUUACAAUUUAAAUUUUCGAGUUUAUCAGAAAAGAAUAUGGCACAAGCCACAACUGUGAUCAGUUCGACAGCCAUCACUCCGCUGCCGAUCGAGAAAGCUCCUCCCGUAUAUGUAGACAUAACUAAAUCCGACUAACAUUCCCACGGCUACCACACAACCCACCUACAGCGUUACCGUUCCUGCACAAAACAUCAAACACAGCGUGGUAGGAAAUAUUCCGGACCAACAACGGUCGUCAUUCCCUCGGUGGUUGCGUCAACAAUUUCAGGAUUAAUAUUCAAUUUUCUAUUGCAGUUCUGAAGGCCACCACUAUUCCUUCCAUCGCACCAGGAAUGUUCGUAUCAGCCACUGCUUAUACCUUUUUUUCUGCCGCUGCCGAUAAAGAAGCAGAAGAGGCAAACAGCUGCACAAAAUUGCUGCGAAUCAUUCGAUUGCCGGAACUGUUGAUCAAAAUCAUGGAGAGUUGCACUUGAAGUGGUUCUUUCUACAUUCUAUCGCAUAUUCAUAAACUGCGCUUCGAAGGCCCCACCCUAGAAGAACCCAAGGUAGAUUGUUUGAAUUGUCUCAUUUCUCACCACUCCCAACAAAUUGAAUUGAAAAAAAGGAAAACCAGUAGCGUCCACGAUUAAUGAAGAGCCGUCAUCUGGUGGUGGAAACGGCCCCGACGCCAUCGCAGUCAUUCCCUCGGUGGUUGCGCCAACAAUUUCCGUUCCAAUGGCCACGACCAUUCCUUCCAUCGCACCAGUCAUGUUGGCUCAAAACAUCGUAUCAGGCGCUGCUUAUACCUCUUCUUGUGCCGCUGCUGAUAAAGAAGCGGAAGAUGGUGACGACGAUGACACGGGCUUCGUUUCCAGUCAAAAUGAGCGGUGAAAAUAAGUUCAAAGUUUUUCAGGACUGCAAACAGUUGAAGAGGCCUCGCUGAGUUUUGCGCAAUGACUUAUAGCCGGAGAGGCAGCAAAGGAAUAAAAU